UACAGAGGGAGCUAGCGUUGUUCGGAAUUACUGGGCGUAAAGCGCACGUAGGCGGCUUUGUAAGUUAGAGGUGAAAGCCCGGGGCUCAACUCCGGAACUGCCUUUAAGACUGCAUCGCUUGAAUCCAGGAGAGGUGAGUGGAAUUCCGAGUGUAGAGGUGAAAUUCGUAGAUAUUCGGAAGAACACCAGUGGCGAAGGCGGCUCACUGGACUGGUAUUGACGCUGAGGUGCGAAAGCGUGGGGAGCAAACAGG
rnacentral:rRNA from 1 species